UGCUGGCUUUUAUCUAUAGCUCAGUUGGUAGAGCAUGAGAUUCUCCAUCUCAGGGUUCUGGGUUCAAGCCCCAUGUUGGGCAA